rnacentral:tRNA from 1 species
GCCCGGCUAGCUCAGUCGGUAGAGCGUUGGACUCUUAAUCCAACGGGUCCUGGGGUUC